CUGCCGCAGCGAGGUCGCCUGAGCGACCGAGCAAGGCAGCAGUCCUAAAUUUGAAAUAGCGUGCGAAAUCUUGAUUUUUGCCAAGAGCGAUGCAUUGUGGUCACACUUUUCGCAGUUCUUUUUUCAACCAUAAUGCAUUUCGGUUCUUUGAAUAAAACCUUCGUGGUCGCAAUUGUUUGCUCUUUCACGUCUACGUUUCAAAGACCAAGAUUGUAAUACACUGGCGUCGUCUGGAGUUUAACUUUAGGUUUUGAUAUACUGGCAGAACGUUUCAACGAGAACAUACUAUAUAAAAAAGGGUUUUAAUAUACUGGCAGAACUAUACUGUGCUAUUUCAGGAUGGCACAUCCACGACCACCCUGUUGCUGUUUGACGACAAACUACAGCAAUUAUUCAACAUCUACAAAGAGCAAAACACUUGCGAUACCGAGUUUGAGGGAACUGACGACGAAAUUCUUUUAACUGUUGAGGCGAAAGUACUCUUUAACAACAAAAGAAAUGUUGUCUCCAUAGAGAAGCUUUCUACUUCAUAACAUAUAUACAGCAUGCUUAUAUAAACUAUAUUCUUUAGACGGUCAACAUUAGAUUGUGCAUGACUUUGUUGCCGAAAACACUUCAGCCAUUCUUACCACUUUUUAGAAGUUUUGCAUGUACUGUUCUGUUAUCUUUGUUCUGUUAUCUUUGUUCUAACAUUUUAAAUUCCACAGAAACGCUCUUUAGUGUAAAUAUUUUUUCUAUGAAUAGAAUGUUUCUCCAAUGCCUUACUAUUUAACCAUUUAUAUAAAUUACUUUACGCAGAAACACUAAAUAUAACUGUAUUGUUGUUUUUCAAGAUUAUGCGGCGAACUAUAAACGUAUCUUUACCCCUUAGUUCGGUAUUAGGCAGAUUUAAAAAGACCUCACGGUCGUCAAAUGUCAACUUAAAAAUGACGUUCUAUCUCCAUGCAAGCAUACGUUUUUGGCGUCUGUAUAAAUCUGCUUAACAUAAUGAUAAGUACAAUUUUUUGUCUUAUUUCUGUGACAACUCUGUGUUUUGCUAUUGAAGGCAGCAUUACUACCCUUAGGGUAACCUAGUUUAAUA